CCUACGGGUGGCAGCAGUGAGGAAUAUUGGUCAAUGGCCGGAAGGCUGAACCAGCCAAGCCGCGUGAAGGACGAAGGUGCCAAGCAUUGUAAACUUCUUUUGUCAGGGGACAAAAUCAGGCACGCGCGCCUGACCGCAGGUACUUUAUGAAAAAGCAUCGGCUAACUCCGUGCCAGCAGCCGCGGUAAUACGGAGGAUGCGAGCGUUAUCCGGAUUUAUUGGGUUUAAAGGGUGCGUAGGCGGACUGUUAAGUCAGCGGUAAAAGCCCGGGGCCAAACCCGGGAGCGCCGUUGAAAAUGGGGGUCGUGAGAGGUCGAGAGGUAGGCGGAAUGCGUGGUGUAGCGGUGAAAUGCUUAGAUAUUGCGAAGAACCCCGAUUGCGAAGGCAGCAUACCGGAGGGGAUCUGACGCUGAGGCACGAAAGCGUGGGUAUCGAACAGGAUUAGAUACCCCUGUAGUC
rnacentral:rRNA from 1 species